UACGUAGGGUGCGAGCGUUAAUCGGAAUUACUGGGCGUAAAGCGUGCGCAGGCGGUAAUGCAAGACAGAUGUGAAUCCCGGCUUACCUGGGAACUGCAUUGUGACUGCAUUGCUGGAGUGCGGCAGAGGGGAUGGAAUUCCGCGUGUAGCAGUGAAUGCGUAGAUAUGCGGAGGAACACCGAUGGCGAAGGCAGCCCUGGCUGACACUGACGCUCAGCACGAAAGCGUGGGAGCGAACAGG
rnacentral:rRNA from 1 species